rnacentral:rRNA from 1 species
ACGCUCGACACCUACGGGAGCAGCAGUGGGGAAUAUUGCACAAUGGGGGAAACCCUGAUGCAGCGACGCCGCGUGGAGGAAGAAGGUCUUCGGAUUGUAAACUCCUGUUGUUGGGGAAAAAGAGGAUGGUACCCAACAAGGAAGUGACGGCUAACUACGUGUCAGCAGCCGCGGUAAUCUGAGGCGGGCUGGCAAGGC